AGCGAACGCUGGCGGCAGGCCUAACACAUGCAAGUCGAACGAACUCUUCGGAGUUAGUGGCGGACGGGUGAGUAACACGUGGGAACGUGCCUUUUGGUUCGGAAUAACUCAGGGAAACUUGUGCUAAUACCGAAUGUGCCCUUCGGGGGAAAGAUUUAUCGCCAUUAGAGCGGCCCGCGUCUGAUUAGCUAGUUGGUGAGGUAACGGCUCACCAAGGCGACGAUCAGUAGCUGGUCUGAGAGGAUGACCAGCCAGACUGGGACUGAGACCCGGCCCAGACUCCUACGGGAGGCAGCAGUGGGGAAUCUUGCGCAAUGGGCGAAAGCCUGACGCAGCCAUGCCGCGUGAAUGGUGAAGGGCUUAGGAUUGUAAAAUUCUUUCACCGGGGACGAUAAUGACGGUACCCGGAGAAGAAGCCCCGGCUAACUUCGUG
rnacentral:rRNA from 1 species